rnacentral:rRNA from 1 species
GCUUUACUAUAACUUGACAUUGACUUUGGGCUCCUUUUGCGCAGUCUAGGUGGGAGGCUUUGAUAUCUUGUUUCGGCAAGAUGGAGCCGUUUUUGAGAGACCACUCUGAAAGAGCUAAAAUUCUAAUAGUGAUCCUUGAAUCAGGAACACUUGACAGUGUCAGGCGGGUAGUUUUUCUGAGGCGGAAACCUCCUAAAAAGUAACGGAGGUGCGCAAAGGUUCCCUCAGGCUGGACGGAAAUCAGCUGUAGAGUGUAAAGGCAUAAGGGAGCUUGACUGCAAGACCUACAAGUCGAGCAGGGGCGAAAGCCGGCCUUAGUGAUCCGACGGUACCAAGUGGAAGGGCCGUCGCUCAACGGAUAAAAGUUA